AGCARGAGUGAACCACCUGAUCCCUUCCCGAACUCAGAAGUGAAACCUCUUAGCGCUGAUGGUAGUGUGGGGUUACCCAUGUGAGAGUAAGUCAUCGCCAGCU
rnacentral:rRNA from 1 species